CCCAGGCAGGCGUGCCCUCGGCCAAGAGGCCUCGGGCGCAACUUGCGUUCAAAGACUCGAUGGUUCGCGGGAUUCUGCAAUUCACACCAGGUAUCGCAUUUCGCUACGUUCUUCAUCGAUGCGAGAGCCGAGAUAUCCGUUGCCGAGAGUCGUGUGGAUUAUAUAGAAUUGCAACUCGGGGUGCGGCCAGCAAGCCAGCCACAUCCCCUCGUUAGGCUAAGUGUUCCUUGACGCCUUCGGCGCCGUGGGUUCUUUUACCCCGAGCCC
rnacentral:rRNA from 1 species